rnacentral:tRNA from 1 species
GGGCCCGUAGUGGAAACACAGCACCCUGCGACGGUCGCAAAUACGGGUUCGAAUCCCGCCGGGUCCA